UUUGAUCCUGGCUCAGAGCGAACGCUGGCGGCAGGCUUAACACAUGCAAGUCGAGCGGGCGUAGCAAUACGUCAGCGGCAGACGGGUGAGUAACGCGUGGGAACAUACCUUUUGGUUCGGAACAACACAGGGAAACUUGUGCUAAUACCGGAUAAGCCCUUACGGGGAAAGAUUUAUCGCCGAAAGAUUGGCCCGCGUCUGAUUAGCUAGUUGGUGAGGUAAUGGCUCACCAAGGCGACGAUCAGUAGCUGGUCUGAGAGGAUGAUCAGCCACAUUGGGACUGAGACACGGCCCAAACUCCUACGGGAGGCAGCAGUGGGGAAUAUUGGACAAUGGGGGCAACCCUGAUCCAGCCAUGCCGCGUGAGUGAUGAAGGCCCUAGGGUUGUAAAGCUCUUUUGUGCGGGAAGAUAAUGACGGUACCGCAAGAAUAAGCC
rnacentral:rRNA from 1 species